rnacentral:misc_RNA from 1 species
GAGUGAUAAACCUGCCAAAACAAUAAUUUUCAAAGCACUAUAGAAGGCACUCAGGUAGCAACUUCAUAUAAUAAAAAGCAAAAUCGACUCCAAGAACCAACAAACCCAAAUUCUAACGAUAUCCAAGAUAAUCCCAUUAAAUGACUAAAACCAAAAACAUUAAAUAUUCAAUAAAUGUACAUGCCCAAUCAUUUUAGCAUCACGCAAUUGCUAGGCAGGAAUCCAAAAGAUCAUAUUCAAGAGAUCGUAAAAAUCAACCAUAAGAAGAAACUAACUAGAUUGGGU